GAUGAAGAACGCAGCGAAAUGUGAUAAGUAGUGUGAAUUGCAGAAUUCAGUGAAUCAUCGAAUCUUUGAACGCACAUUGCGCCCUUUGGUAUUCCUUAGGGCAUGCCUGUUCGAGCGUCAUUUAAACCUUCAAGCUCAGCUUGGUGUUGGGUGACUGUCCGCUUCACCGCGGACUCGCCUCAAAAUUAUUGGCGGCCGGUACAUUGGCUUCGAGCGCAGCAGAAACGCGAACUCGGGCCCGUCGUAUUGGCUCCCAGAAGCUAUCUUCACAAUUUUGACCUCGGAUCAGGGAGGGAUACCCGCUGAACUUAAGCAUAUCAAUAAGCGGAGGA
rnacentral:misc_RNA from 1 species